rnacentral:rRNA from 1 species
UACGUAGGGUGCGAGCGUUAAUCGGAAUUACUGGGCGUAAAGCGUGCGCAGGCGGUUCGUUAUGUCCGAUGUGAAAGCCCCGAGCUUAACUUGGGAAUGGCAUUGGAAACUGGCGGGCUGGAGUGCGGCAGAGGGGGGGUGGAAUUCCACGUGUAGCAGUGAAAUGCGCAGAUAUCAGGAGGAACACCGAUGGCGAAGGCAGCUCACUGGGACGGUACUGACGCUGAGACGCGAAAGCGUGGGGAGCAAACAGG